UGAGCCUUGAGCAACAAGCUGGCUCUUAGGAGGCAGAGGCCGUGGGGCAAAGCAGUCCUCUGUAGUGCCAGUGACAGUGAGGGCUGGAGAGUUAAGACAAGUACAGCAAUUUGACUGGGAUGUAAGGCCGUUCCACACCAGAGCUUCUGCAGACAGCUGAGCUAGACAGAUACCUAGGAAAGAAGACUCUGCUGCCAUUUUAAUUCUCCCCCAUGUUAACAGCCUUCACAGGAGAAUGUGUUAUUUGUGGAUAAUCUAAAUCAUCCUGCCGCAAGCUCUCUUCCUUUCCUAUUAAGAUGAUACGCACAGAGCACCUAUCCAGGCCCUCCUUCUGUGGUCUUUAUGAAAGCAAGGAGAGCUUACCCCAUGUGUAUGCAUAACCAUAAAAUUGUUGACUGGAACUGAACAGACUCAUGAAAAUGCCAUCAUUAUUCAGGCAAGAGCUGGACACGAUUCAAGGCAGAAGAGAGACAGAGAAGCAACCACUUGAAAGAAAG